CUCAUUAAAUCAGUUAUAGUUUAUUUGAUGGUCUCUUUUGUCUUUUUUUACCUACUUGGAUAACCGUGGUAAUUCUAGAGCUAAUACAUGCGCAAGGUCCCGAGCGCGGGGGGGCAGGGCUUCACGGCUCUAUUCUUGCAUGCGUAGCGGGAUGUAUUUAUUAGGUUAAACAACCAGCAUUUUCAUCAUCUGGUGAUUCAUAGUAACUCUUUCGGGUCGCAUUCAUG
rnacentral:rRNA from 1 species